CUAGAAAUCCUAGUAUGAAACUAUGACUAGAAAUUCAUUAUAUUGAUAUAUAUUUUGUCGACAAGGAAGAGAUUUCAUCAAGUGUUAAGAAUCACUUGCCAUUUAAGUGGCCAAUUCUCCAUACAUGGACGACGCCUUUGCUAGAUCUAUUCCGGAGUUAUGUUUGAUUGAUGUGCAUGUAAAUCUGAAAGAUUUGAUCAUAUAGACUCUUAAAGAGGCUUUUGAGGUCUUUUGCAACAAAGGUGUUGCUGGAAACUCUAGUGCAGAACUUCUUGCCACUUUUUGUGAUAACAUUCUCAACAAAGGAUGCUUUCAUUAUUUUAUGGACUUUGGCAGUACAUGUUCAACAAGUUAGAGCUUCAUGUACUCAUUUUAGGGAUUGACAAGGCUGGCAAAACGACUUUGCUUGAGAAGAUGAAGUCGGUGUACACGAAUGUAGAAGGUCUUCCUCCGGAACGAAUUGUGGAAAGCAAUUGCUUCUCCAGGGCGUGGUAUUUUGGCCAUGGAUGAAUCCAAUGCUACAUGUGGAAAGCGGUUGGAUUCAAUUGGACUAGAGAACACCGAAGUUAACCGUCAAGCAUGGCGUAAAAUUAUAUAUGAAGAAAGUGUUAUG